rnacentral:rRNA from 1 species
GACGAACGCUGGCGGCGUGCCUAAUACAUGCAAGUCGAACGCUGAAGAGAGGAGCUUGCUCUUCUUGGAUGAGUUGCGAACGGGUGAGUAACGCGUAGGUAACCUGCCUUGUAGCGGGGGAUAACUAUUGGAAACGAUAGCUAAUACCGCAUAACAAUGGAUGACACAUGUCGUUUAUUUGAACGGGGCAAUUGCUGCACUACAAGAUGGACCUACGUUGUAUUAGCUAGUAGGUGAGGUAAUGGCUCACCUAGGCGACGAUACAUAGCCGGCCUGAGAGGAGGACGAGCCACACUGGGACUGAGACACGGCCCAGACUCCUACGGGAGGCAGCAGUGGGGAAUGUUGGACAAUGGGCGCAAGCCUGAUCCAGCAAUGCCGCGUGCAGGAAGAAGGCCUUCGGGUUGUAAAAUGCUUUUGCACGGAACGAAACGGAUCUGGUUAAUACCCGGGGCUAAUGACGGUACCGUAAGAAUAAGCACCGGCUAACUACGUG